UAGCUACAGGCUUACACAUGCAAGUCGAGGGGCAGCAUGGUCUUAGCUUGCUAAGGCCGAUGGCGACCGGCGCACGGGUGAGUAACACGUAUCCAACCUGCCGUCUACUCUUGGACAGCCUUCUGAAAGGAAGAUUAAUACAAGAUGGCAUCAUGAGUCCGCAUGUUCACAUGAUUAAAGGUAUUCCGGUAGACGAUGGGGAUGCGUUCCAUUAGAUAGUAGGCGGGGUAACGGCCCACCUAGUCUUCGAUGGAUAGGGGUUCUGAGAGGAAGGUCCCCCACAUUGGAACUGAGACACGGUCCAAACUCCUACGGGAGGCAGCAGUGAGGAAUAUUGGUCAAUGGGCGAGAGCCUGAACCAGCCAAGUAGCGUGAAGGAUGACUGCCCUAUGGGUUGUAAACUUCUUUUAUAAAGGAAUAAAGUCGGGUAUGUAUACCCGUUUGCAUGUACUUUAUGAAUAAGGAUCGGCUAACUCCGUGCCAGCAGCCGCGGUAAUACGGAGGAUCCGAGCGUUAUCCGGAUUUAUUGGGUUUAAAGGGAGCGUAGAUGGAUGUUUAAGUCAGUUGUGAAAGUUUGCGGCUCAACCGUAAAAUUGCAGUUGAUACUGGAUAUCUUGAGUGCAGUUGAGGCAGGCGGAAUUCGUGGUGUAGCGGUGAAAUGCUUAGAUAUCACGAAGAACUCCGAUUGCGAAAGCAGCCUGCUAAGCUGCAACUGACAUUGAGGCUCGAAAGUGUGGGUAUCAAAC
rnacentral:rRNA from 1 species